rnacentral:rRNA from 1 species
UACGUAGGGUGCGAGCGUUAAUCGGAAUUACUGGGCGUAAAGCGUGCGCAGGCGGUUUUGUAAGUCAGAUGUGAAAUCCCCGGGCUUAACCUGGGAACUGCGUUUGAAACUACAAGGCUAGAGUGUGGUAGAGGGAGAUGGAAUUCCGCAUGUAGCAGUGAAAUGCGUAGAUAUGCGGAGGAACACCAAUGGCGAAGGCAAUCUCCUGGACCUGCACUGACGCUCAUGCACGAAAGCGUGGGGAGCAAACAGG